rnacentral:rRNA from 1 species
UACGUAGGGCGCAAGCGUUGUCCGGAAUUAUUGGGCGUAAAGAGCUCGUAGGCGGCUUGUCGCGUCGGAUGUGAAAGCCCGGGGCUUAACUCCGGGUCUGCAUUCGAUACGGGCAGGCUAGAGUUCGGUAGGGGAGAUCGGAAUUCCUGGUGUAGUGGUGAAAUGCGUAGAGAUCAGGAGGAACACCGGUGGCGAAGGCGGCCCACUGGGCUGUCACUGACGCUGAGGCGCGAAAGCUCGGGGAGCGAACGGG